AGCGAACGCUGGCGGCAGGCCUAAUACAUGCAAGUCGAGCGCACCUUCGGGUGAGCGGCGGACGGGUGAGUAACGCGUGGGAACGUGCCCUUUGGUACGGGAUAACUGAGGGAAACUUCAGCUAAUACCGUAUGUGCCCUACGGGGGAAAGAUUUAUCGGCAUUGGAGCGGCCCGCGUUGGAUUAGGUAGUUGGUGAGGUAAAGGCUCACCAAGCCUACGAUCCAUAGCUGGUCUUAGAGGAUGAUCAGCCACCCCGGGACUGAGACACGGCCCAGACUCCUACGGGAGGCAGCAGUAGGGAAUCUUGCGCAAUGGGCGAAAGCCUGACGCAUCCAUGCCGCGUGUAUGAUGAAGGUCUUAGGAUUGUAAAAUACUUUCACCGGGGAAGAUAAUGACGGUACCCGGAGAAGAAGCCCCGGCUAACUUCGUGCCAGCCGCCGCAGUAACAC
rnacentral:rRNA from 1 species